UGUUUUUCAACUUGUUUUUGAUUGUGCUCUCGAGUUUCGUUUUUCGAUCCAACCAUUUUCAAAAUUUAUAUAAUUUUCACUACUGAAAGAGUGCGUAAAAUAAACAUACACCCUCACUUUUGUGGUUCUGAGCUCUAAUGUAGAUGUCGCAUGAGCUGAUUCAGCUUUGCGUAAAUUCGUCAAUUGGCGAUCUAACGUACAAAUCUACACCUAGGCGGCGCUGCGGCGAAAGUGAUGAUGGUUUUAAAUUUUGCCAUAUGAGCUUAUGGAAGUAGUGAAAACUAUAAAAAUGUUGACAAUCGUUGAAUUAAAGAAGGAAAUUCGAGAGCACAAUCAAACACAAGUAGAAAAAUGCACGAUUCCUGCAUGUGAGAACUACCUUGGAAAGCCCGGAAGUAAAAUAUACGUGAUUUGUUUUUUGAGUUUUAGGUUACAUUAGCAUCAUUUUCUUAGUUCAAAAACAAAAUCCAGAUGUCGCACCGAUCGUUUAUGUUUUGCGUUAGAUCGCCAAUUGGCCUGAUACAAACUAAUAUUGUAUCCAGAUGUCGACACCAUUCCACCGUCAACGCGAAUUGAAAAUGCUAAUACUCCGAGAGCAAAACCUUUCUCUGAACCUUUUGACGUAGGACUACGUCUAACCGGAAGAUACAGGGGGUGAAAUGAAAAUCUAGGCACUGAACA